AGUUUUGCGCAGUGGUGAUAUCGUAACCAAUGAGCUUUAUCUUAGGUGCGAUUAUUGCUGGUUUAAAACCUAUUAAGACAUAUUAUAUACUUAUAUUGCAAAAAACUAAUUAUUUAG